rnacentral:lncRNA from 1 species
UUGUUUCACCAGUUAGUUUGGUUGUAUUUGUAAUUUGCAAAAAAGCAGACAGUUGUAUUUUUUCGUGGUUCUAAUAAAAAUAAUUGUUCUAUUAAAGUAAAUGUUUUCAGAUGACCUAGUCACUGCUUGACCAUAUGAGGUCUGGAAACUUUGCAGCCAGUUUCUGGCGAUUCAAGGCCAGAGAGUUUUCUUCUGANACACUCAUAAGAAGACCCUGGCAAGGUUAAGAACCGCCUGCCUGGAUUCGUUUUUCCUGCUGCUGCCGCCUUUUUUCGGCUGCAAGCCCACGUGCAGGGACUGUGCUCUGCCUUUCGGGGCUUUUCCCUGCUGGAGGGCUGCUGCUGGGCAGGAGCCACCUCGUGCAAGGGGGCCUUCAGGCCAGCCAGCAGCAGUGAGAAUCUCUCCUUUGCCGUUUCUCUCUGUGUUUGCAGACCACCCCGUCCUGAACACACCUACAAGACCAUGAGACCAGUCCCCGUGUUCAAGCGACUCCAUCCAGCCACGCAAAUACGCCAAGAGCGACAUUACCAAAUUCCCAACGAGCAACGUUAUCAGGUUCCCAACGAACCGCAACGUUAUCAGGUUCCCAACGAACUGCAGCGUUACCAGAUUCCCGAGCCACAGCGUUACCAGAUUCCCGAGCCACAGCGUUACCAGAUUCCUAAUGAGCCACAACGUUACCAGAUUCCUAACGAGCCGCGUUACCAGGUCCCAACUGCGCUACAACACUACCAGGUUCCUGUUUGGUCACAAAUGGAAAUCAAAACCACUCCAGAGAAUGAAUAUAUCACUGUGAAUCCAGCACCAUCUCUUUCCACACCCCCAAUGGAGAGCAAGUAUGGCAAUAUUGAGCAGCAGCCUGUGUCCAUAGCUGAAGGAUCUCCAAUUGCUAGCAUGAUGUCCAGAGGUGGUUCCAGAUUUUCUGCCUUUGGGAGAUCACUUCCUGCACCUUCUGAGAACACUGUGGUUGCUGUGGAACACGUAAUACAUCAUAGAGCAUUCUGGAGAACUUUUUAAAAGAAAAUGUGGCUCACACAGUGGGUUUGUGUGGCCUGUUUGGCCACAUAAACUGCCCGUUUGCUUUAGAGUAUAUGUGCCCUCCUUGCGACGCAUCUGACCAAAGCUUGCAGCUGGAAAUACCUAGUUAAUAUUCCUAAUGCACCCAUCAUCACUGAAAAUCACCUGAUACUUUUCAGAGAAAUUCCAGGAUUCAUUGGAAUAUUUUAAGCCUGGGACAAAGGAAGACCAAUCUUACUCAUGUAGGAGCAAUUUGAUGGGGCCUUUCCCAAUCCUAUGGAGUAGGUGGAGGGCUUGGACUUGGGGUCUUCAUUGGGCUAAGCUGGUGACCUAAAUAAGGGAGUGUGAAUCAAGUUUGGGGCCACAGGGUAAGCUCAUUGCUUUAGGAAGUCCCAGGUGCCUUUUAGGGAUCCCAAUAGGAGUCCUGGACAACAGGUCGGUUCUAAUUCUUCCUGAAGGCAUUAUGAAUUAUAAGUUGGGAUCUUUUCUACAUCAAGCAGAUUCUUUAUCACCAUUCUCUGUUUUUGUAACAUUGGAUUCUAGAUGCUGUAUUGAGGGGGGGAGGACAGUGGAUGCCAAAGGUGUGGAUUUUGAAGAUGUCCCUCCUGCAACCGCAGUGGGUGGCAUAUUGUCUUUGUCCUUGAACAGAAUCAGCAGUAGUGUAUCUAGUGAGGCUCAAGUGAAAAUCUCAACACCACGAGGCCAAGCUUAGAACAUUUUGCCAAACAAGUCAUCAUACUUAUUGUUUACAACAUUUAUGUUAUUUAAACUAGUUAACCUUCUUUUGCUCAUGGUUCCCUUCCCCCACCCCCAAUUUCCAAAUUAAAGGGAAUGCAGACAAAUUGGAACAGGUUCAAAGAAGAUGAUUCAGAAAAAGAAAUAAAAUCUAAUGAGAAAAGAUGGGGAGAAUGUGG